UACGGAGGGUGCAAGCGUUGUUCGGAUUCAUUGGGCGUAAAGGGUGCGUAGGCGGCGCGGUAAGUCGGGUGUGAAAUCUCGGAGCUUAACUCCGAAACUGCAUUCGAUACUGCCGUGCUUGAGGACUGGAGAGGAGACUGGAAUUUACGGUGUAGCGGUGAAAUGCGUAGAUAUCGUAAGGAAGACCAGUGGCGAAGGCGGGUCUCUGGACAGUUCCUGACGCUGAGGCACGAAGGUCAGGGGAGCAAACGGG
rnacentral:rRNA from 1 species